rnacentral:rRNA from 1 species
GAUGAACGCUGGCGGCGUGCCUAAUACAUGCAAGUCGAACGCUGGAGAGCUAGCUUGCUAGAGCGAAGGAGUGGCGAACGGGUGAGUAACACAUAAGCAACCUACCCACGAAGACAGGGAGAAUCGCUGGAAACGGGGACAAAGACCGGAUAGGUAAGCGGAAGGCAGGUGCUGGUUAUUAAAGGUGAAAAACACUGGUGGAUGGGCUGAUGGCGCAGUGGUUAGGUGGUGAGGUAACGGCCCACCAAGACGAUGAUGCGUAGCCGGGCUGAGGGGGUGAACGGCCACAUUGGGGCUGCGCCACGGCCCAGACUCCUACGGGAGGCAGCAGUAGGGAAUUUUCGGCACUGGGGGCAACCCUGACCGAGCAGCGCCGCGUGAGUGAAGCCGGCCUUCGGGUUGUACAGCUCUGUUGUAAGGGAAGAACUGUAGAUAGAGCAUAUCUAAGUGACGGUACCUUACCAGAAAGCCACGGCUAACUACGUG